UUUACUCUGGUGUUGGACUUUCUACUUCAAAUUAAAAACUGAGGCGAUUUUUGCAAGAAUGGACUCUUCGGCGCCACCUAGAUCAUGGGCAUGUUCAGGGGCUAUCUAGCACAUCCCUUUUGAGAAUGGACUCUUCGGCGCCACCUAGAUCAUGGGCAUGUUCAGGGGCUAUCUAGCACAUCCCUUUUGAGAAUGGACUCUUCGGCGCCACCUAGAUCAUGGGCAUGUUCAGGGGCUAUCUAGCACAUCCCUUUUGAGAAUGGACUCUUCGGCGCCACCUAGAUCAUGGGCAUGUUCAGGGGCUAUCUAGCACAUCCCUUUUGAGAAUGGACUCUUCGGCGCCACCUAGAUCAUGGGCAUGUUCAGGGGCUAUCUAGCACAUCCCUUUUGAGGUACAGUUACCAAACUUUGUAC